GUGAAUCAUCAAAUCUUUGAACGCAAAUUGCACUAUCUGGUAUUACGGAGAGUAUGCCUGUUUGAGGGUCAGUUUAAAUAAAAAUCGGUGUGGUUGCUGCCUUUCGUGGUGACGCACCGGAUGUGGGGCGUCUUGCCUUCGGUUAAGUGACGUAAAAUUUUGCAUGAUUUUUUUGAACGUAUUUAAAUGAUUUUACGUUCGUUUGGGAUAUCGAAUACUAGGUGCGGUCAUCCUCAUGAUCCGCGCCUAUACUUUCUCAUCAAAAUGAACUCAAUUCAGGUAA
rnacentral:misc_RNA from 1 species